UACGUAGGGGGCUAGCGUUGUCCGGAAUCAUUGGGCGUAAAGAGCGUGUAGGCGGCUUGGUAAGUCCGCUGUAAAAGUCAAAGGCUCAACCUUUGAAUGUCAGUGGAUACUGCCGGGCUAGAGUCCGGAAGAGGCGAGUGGAACUCCUGGUGUAGCGGUGGAAUGCGCAGAUAUCAGGAAGAACACCAACGGCGAAGGCAGCUCGCUGGGACGGUACUGACGCUGAGACGCGAAAGCGUGGGGAGCGAACAGG
rnacentral:rRNA from 1 species